GCCCAGGUGGCGGAAUUGGUAGACGCACUAUCUUGAGGGGGUAGCGCUGAAAGGCGUGCGGGUUCGAGUCCCGCCCUGGGCACCA
rnacentral:tRNA from 4 species